rnacentral:rRNA from 1 species
UAGUCUACGCCGUAAACGAUGGAUACUAGCUGUUGGACUUCGGUUCAGUGGCUAAGCGAAAGUGAUAAGUAUCCCACCUGGGGAGUACGUUCGCAAGAAUGAAACUCAAAGGAAUUGACGGGGGCCCGCACAAGCGGUGGAGCAUGUGGUUUAAUUCGAUGAUACGCGAGGAACCUUACCAGGGCUUAAAUGUAAGUUGCAUGAUUUAGAGAUAGAUCUUUCUUCGGACUACUUACAAGGUGCUGCAUGGUUGUCGUCAGCUCGUGCCGUGAGGUGUCAGGUUAAGUCCUAUAACGAGCGCAACCCCUGUUGUUAGUUGCCAGCAUGUAAAGAUGGGAACUCUAACAAGACUGCCAGUGCAAACUGUGAGGAAGGUGGGGAUGACGUCAAAUCAUCACGGCCCUUACGUCCUGGGGCUACACACGUGCUACAAUGGGUAGGGGACAGAGAGCAGCCACUGGGGU